CCCUUAGAUGUUCUGGGCAGCACGCGCGCUACAAUGGUCUUCGCAAACGGAUGCAUUCUCGAAGGAGAAUGCCAAUCUUGGAAUCUAUGCCUUGGUCGGGACAGUUGCUUGCAAUUUUUCGACUCGAACCAGGAAUUCCUUGUAAUCGUGAUUCAUCACAUCACGAUGAAUACGUCCCUGCCCUUUGUACACACCGCCCGUCGCUCCUACCGAUUGAAUGGUCCGGUGAAAUCUUCGGAUUGCUGGAUAGGACUUCAUUGACCUAUCUGCGAGAAGUUGCUUGAACCUUAUCAUUUAGAGGAAGGAGAAGUCGUAACA
rnacentral:rRNA from 1 species